UUGAGGGAGUAUUACGAUAUUCUACAUGGUAGUCUGUGGUGAGUCUACCGCAAAAAUUCCACUACAGACAUACAAUGAAAACAGUUAUUCACGAACUAUAAGACGCGUUGUGAUUGCUAAGCCUGCCUAUUGUUUUUCGUUACCAUAGAGACACGCGUGGUGGUGGUUGGUCACGUUACGGGUGUAAAUCAGUGAAGUCCAAUUGAACUCACACAGUUUGCUCUUGCACUCACCUAACGGCUUUUGCAGUCCUGUCAGACUUAAAUCUUCAGUAUCCCGAGCAAGCAGCCUUUGCGAUGCGUUUUGUGACGUACAUUGGUAUAUCGGUGUCCCUUGUUCUGUUACUGACAGCUUUUAUAUUAUUCUUGUGUCUAAGCAAUCAUAAGAGCAAUUCGAGAACAAUUCAUAAGAACCUUAUUGUAGCGGUCUUCGUUGCUGAGCUGACGUUCCUC